UUUCACUUGAAAUUUGAAAAAUCCCACUCAGUAAACCCGUUUUAAUCUCUGACACCCCGUUUUGUACUCGAUUAAUUAUUUUAUUUCUUAUUCCUUGUUUUUAUUUUUUGUUAUCUCUCUCCUCAUUUUUUUUAUGUUGUUUCUCUCUCCUCUUUUCUAAUGUUCUGCGAUCUUCACCUCUUCUAUUCUCACUUCUUCUCUAAUCAUUUAGUUUAUUUUCCUCCUCGCUUCUUCCCACAACUAAUGUUUUAAUUUAAAAUCCCACUCACCUAUAGUUCUCAAUCAUUCAAUAGCAUGUUUUGAUUUUUAUUUGUUUGUCGUUGGUUUGGUUGUUCCCAGAAGUUGGCGAAGUGGCGAAUUCCAGUUUCGCGACUCAAAUUUAGGUGAAGCAUAAUUGUGUUGUAACAUGAGGGAAGGAGGAUGAGAAAGUCAUUCGUGCGAUCCAUUGGUUGGAAGAAGGGAGUGGGUCCUUCAAAAUGUACUGGUGUGAAGGGGCCUGGAGUUAAGGGGCUUUUUUUGAGGCCAAGGGUCAUGCCCGUAGUAAAUCCCAGGCUCAUGCCCCUAGUAAAUCCCAGGUGAAGAGGAAAUCUAGGCAGCAAAUAAGUUAUGAGGAUUAUGAAGAGGAGGUUGAGGAGUAUUAUGAAGAUGAAGAUGUAGGUAGCAACAACAAUCACUUCGAUGGUGAAGAAGCAGAUUUAGUUAGUAGUUCUGGUUUUAUGGAGAACAUGAUGAUGGAGUACAUAGGGAUGAAGUCGAGGAAAAGGAAAGGGAAAGGGGAACCUAGUGUGUACAAGAAGCAAAAGGUUCCAAAACUUGAAGGUGACAAAGUAUUAAGUAAAGGGGAGGUUUUGAAGACACACCAUGAGAAUGUAGGGCAAGUAAGUAUCCGAACAUCGUAUGCCGUGUUGAUUCAUUUUGUGAUUCUGUGAAGUUGUUUGAUCCAAAGAGGAAAGACUUAGUACAGAAAAUGGGGUUUGGUGGAUUGCUUGAGUCUGAUAUGAAGAAUAUCCCUCAGCAGUUUUGCUAUUGGCCAAUGGCUAGAGUUCAAGAAGAUGGGACAAUGGUGUUUAGCGAAGGAGAAAUUUUCCCCUUGGUGCAAAGCAAGUUAGAUCUGUAUUAGGCAUUCCAAUGGGUUUGAGACCCGUGCCAAUGGAAAUUGGUGAUGAUGAAGAGAAGAUUAACUUGGUGAAAUCGUUGUGUGAUGCGUAUGGAGCAGGGCCGAAGAAAGAAACUAUUUCUUUGAAAGCCGCUUUUGUUGUCUUGUAUCCUUUGGAUAGUGAAAACAAACCUUUGCCGCUGGUCACAAAAUAUGAUGAAGAGGAGCUCAUGAUAGCAUUCUUAAUUGUGGUCCUUGGAAAACUUCUAUGCACAAUGACCAAUUAUUUUAAUUUGGCUGCCUCUCUAACUCCAUCUUUGACGGUGGCAACUGAGGCUAGUGAAUAUGAUUGGUGUACGUUCAUUAUCGAAUGGCUUUGUGACACAGCACACCGUUUCCAAGAAAAGUUUCUGCGGGAUGGCUUUAGGUCUGGAUGUGGAGGUAGCUUUCUUUUUGUGAUGAUAUUUUAUCUAGUUCACCUCCACCGGAAACUUGUGGAGUGGGGUGUGUUCCCAAGGGUCAAGGUGUGGAAUUCUCUUGAGAUAAGGGCAGCACUUAUGGAUGACAAGCUCACCCGGGACAAAUAUGGAAAACUGUUGGUAAGUGUUUCCUUCAUUUUUAGAAAUUGACAAUGUUGAGUCUGGUUGGUGGGUACUGUCCCUUGCUGAGUUAGACUUGUUUGGUGUAUGCCUUGGACAAAGCGUAUGGUGAGGAGCAUUCUCUUGUACUUAGGGAUGUUGACUGCUUCGGGAGGACUGUUUCUAUAGUCACUCAGCCAUAGUAGUUGGAUGAUGUGGUGACUGAAGUCAUGGAGAAGGUUGGUGACCCUGGUUGAGGGUGUGGUUGGAAAAGCUUUCGGUGAGUUUGUCACGAAGAUGACCAUGGGUCAUGAUGUAAAUGGUGAUGACUUUUGUACAAGUGGAAGCCACCUAGCCACAGGGAGUAACGGACCGCGGGAGAAUCAACAUAAUGCAAAGGUUGAGUCCAAACCCUCGGACAAAGUGGAAGCAGAAUGUUCGGGAGAUAAUAUACCAAAGGAAGAACCUAGGACUUCGAAGCUUAGUCCUCUCGAGAGGAGGCUUGUCAACUUUGUUCGCGGCUGGAAGGAAUUGAAGAACGAUAACGAGUAUGUACAGACUUGACUGUCUAAUU